UUUUUUUUUUUUUUUUUGCUUUUUAACGAAAAAAAAUCAGAGUUUAAAAUGGACUCCCAGGAUUCAUUUCGCCAGAGUCAAACAGCAACAGCAGCAGCAUGUUUAAAAUGGACUCUCCCAGAAUUUCGAUUUGGAGGUUCAUUUCGCCGAACCUCUACAAAUUCAGAGUUUAAAAUGGACUGGUCGAAACCCUGCGGAAUUGUCACGCGACCCGUCUAGGCGUCGACCGCCGUUCCUAACCCCUCUUCUUACAAUUGAGAGCAGGUGAUCGGCCGUUCCACUGCAUGGUACGAGGCCGUUACCGUGCGUAGUGCCCUCAAUCUUGUAGAACCUGCCCAGGGGCGAAGGGGAAAUUGAGGAUCGCAAAUGCUCAGGAUCGAAGUACAACCAACAAACAAUCGCUAUUCUCAGGAUCAAACUGACGACAUGUAGAAACUGGGAAACUGCAAAUUCAUUUCAGAGUUAGAGCUGGAUACAUCUGAUACCUGAACAUUCCAGACACUAAACACCACCAGCGAUACAUAGAACCUGCCUAGCAGAACCGAAACCUAAAUCAGGGAGGAUGAGGCAUCCUUUUGUACAGACCGAGAACACCAACGCACACCUAAAACCACCUAUCAGAUCAGAUCAGAUCAA
rnacentral:lncRNA from 1 species